rnacentral:rRNA from 1 species
GACGAACGCUGGCGGCGUGCUUAACACAUGCAAGUCGAACGGAAAGGCCCUGCUUUUGUGGGGUGCUCGAGUGGCGAACGGGUGAGUAACACGUGAGUAACCUGCCCUUGACUUUGGGAUAACUUCAGGAAACUGGGGCUAAUACCGGAUAGGAGCUCCUGCUGCAUGGUGGGGGUUGGAAAGUUUCGGCGGUUGGGGAUGGACUCGCGGCUUAUCAGCUUGUUGGUGGGGUAGUGGCUUACCAAGGCUUUGACGGGUAGGCGGCCUGAGAGGGUGAACGGCCACAUUGGGACUGAGAUACGGCGCAGACUCCUACGGGACGCAGCAGUGGGGAAUAUUGCACAAUGGGCGGAAGCCUGAUGCAGCAACGCCGCGUGCGGGAUGACGGCCUUCGGGUUGUAAACCGCUUUCGCCUGUGACGAAGCGUGAGUGACGGUAAUGGGUAAAGAAGCACCGGCUAACUACGUG